CAGGUAGGGAAUCUUCCACAAUGGGCGCAAGCCUGACCGAGCAACGCCGCGUGAGUGAAGAAGGUUUUCGGAUCGUAAAGCUCUGUUGUAAGAGAAGAACGUGUGUGAGAGUGGAAAGUUCACACAGUGACGGUAACUUACCAGAAAGGGACGGCUAACUACGUGCCAG
rnacentral:rRNA from 1 species